rnacentral:lncRNA from 1 species
GGCCCGAGAUGGAGCGGAUCAGCAUCGCCCACAGCGCCGACAGCCCCGAGCUCUGGUGAGCGCUCCCCGCCGCAAUUCCGGGCACGCGGGAUUUCGGGCGGCGCUCCUCGGCCCCGGCAGAAUCCGAAACCCCGCGGGGUGACCCGUCCCUGCCUCAGCGUGGGGCUCCCCAUCGUCCCCUGGCUUUCCUCUCCGUCCUGCUCAAGCCUGAAACGGGAAUUGGCGAGAUGAUCCCAGUGAAUCCAUGAAUUCUUCCCGUUGAAUUCAUUAUUUCUUCCCGCUGAAUUCAUUUCGUACUUCCCACUGAAUUCAUUAAUUAUUUCCAAUGAAUUCAUUAUUUCUUCCCACUGAAUUAAUUUCGUACUUCCCUCUGAAUUCAUUAAUUAUUUCCAAUGAAUUAAUUUUGUACUUCCCAAUGAAUUCAUUACUUCUUCCCACUGAAUUCAUUUCGUACUUCCCAAUGAAUUCAUUAAUUAUUUCCAAUGAAUUCAUUAUUUCUUCCUACUGAAUUCAUUUCGUACUUCCCACUGAAUUCAUUAAUUAUUUCCAAUGAAUUCAUUUCGUACUUCCCACUGAAUUCAUUAAUUAUUUCCAAUGAAUUCAUUAUUUCUUCCCACUGAAUUCAUUUCGUACUUCCCACUGAAUUCAUUUCAUACUUCCCAAUGAAUUCAUUAAUUAUUUCCAAUGAAUUAAUUUUGUACUUCCCAAUGAAUUCAUUACUUCUUCCC